rnacentral:rRNA from 2 species
ACGGGUGAGUAACACGUGGGCAAUCUGCCCUUCACUCUGGGACAAGCCCUGGAAACGGGGUCUAAUACCGGAUAUCACUUCCACUCGCAUGGGUGGGGGUUGAAAGCUCCGGCGGUGAAGGAUGAGCCCGCGGCCUAUCAGCUUGUUGGUGAGGUAAUGGCUCACCAAGGCGACGACGGGUAGCCGGCCUGAGAGGGCGACCGGCCACACUGGGACUGAGACACGGCCCAGACUCCUACGGGAGGCAGCAGUGGGGAAUAUUGCACAAUGGGCGAAAGCCUGAUGCAGCGACGCCGCGUGAGGGAUGACGGCCUUCGGGUUGUAAACCUCUUUCAGCAGGGAAGAAGCGAGAGUGACGGUACCUGCAGAAGAAGCGCCGGCUAACUACGUGCCAGCAGCCGCGGUAAUACGUAGGGCGCAAGCGUUGUCCGGAAUUAUUGGGCGUAAAGAGCUCGUAGGCGGUCUGUCGCGUCGGAUGUGAAAGCCCGGGGCUUAACCCCGGGUCUGCAUUCGAUACGGGCAGACUAGAGUGUGGUAGGGGAGAUCGGAAUUCCUGGUGUAGCGGUGAAAUGCGCAGA